AAUCCGUGAUGAGGGCAUUUGGUUUGAUAACCCUUAAAGCGCUCCCAAGCUUCACAGAAGCUUUCAUUUUGCUUCUGAGUGAAUCUAGAUAUCUCGUUCCGGAGUCU
rnacentral:snoRNA from 1 species